rnacentral:rRNA from 1 species
GCACCACAAGAGCGUGGAGUAUGUGGCUUAAUUUGACUCAACGCGGAAAAGCUUAUCUGGUCCGGACACAGUGAGGAUUGACAGACAGUUAGACAGAAGUGAGGUUUUGGUAACAAUUGAGAGAGUUGAAGUUCUUUCAUGAUCUUGUGAGAGGUGGUGCAUGGCCGUUCUUAGUUCGUGUAGUGAUAUGUCUGCCUAAUCGCGUCACGAUAACCUAUUGGUCGACAACCCAAUUAUCACAACUGCAGCAUAACUCCCCUUGGGUGGGCGAGGCUCUGUGUAGGAUAGACCUCUGAACAGUACGCAACGAACGCGAUCGUAAUCCCUUGUUGAGUGGCCAUCCUGUAAGCUGCUGGAUUAGGAACCCAGUGGUAUUAUCUCAGCCACAGAUUUUCUGGUUGUAGUGGGCCAGUUUUGAAACUCGGGGAACAUCUGUGACUUUCUUUCUUAACGCAGAGGAAGG